GAACCUCUCAAAGGGUUUUUGACUGAGAGAGCCCUUUGGAUUUGGGUCUUGCCGUGAAUCUAUCCAUCUCGGCUCACCUUGAAAGUAUUAGCAAGCCUUUCUCAGUAUCCAAAAGUCAUUUGAUGAAGGCGUUCUUAAAAGUUGACCUCUUUUUACGUCUGAAUCAUUGAGACAAGUGCGCUUUGAAACUUGCUUCCAAUCAUCCUUCAUAGGAUGGGCUCAUUGGAGUCCCCUUUCAAUCUAU
rnacentral:misc_RNA from 1 species